GGUCUCCUUAGCAUCACAUGGGGACUUGGCUCUGCCCCAGUGUUCAGCCCAAGACUGCAGCCUAAGCACCUCAGGUUCCAGGAAGGGCAAGCAAUCCUUCCCAAACCAAACUGGAGCUGAUCUCGCCUGGGAAUUGGAGGGGUCUUUAUUCAAAGAGAGCAGGAGAAUGAGUUCCACUGAACAGAAGAGAAUCUGUGCUGGAUGGGAAAGAAGCCUCAAAGAAGCUGCACCCAGAGAACUGGAAUCUUCAGUUCACCGUGGGGGACUGUGAAGACUGCUCAUACGCGCAUGGGUGUGUGAUCAUUGAAAGCAUAGCAAGCCUUGCAGUGGACACAUCUCAAGAAAGAAGGAUUGUCCUUCCUUUCAUUAGCAAAUAUUCACUGCCUAUCUGCGGUGAGGCCCAGAGAUCGGUGACUUCAACCAUCCCAGGAUUGCUGGCUUGGUCCGGUAUAGAUCAUGUGCAGGCGACUAUAGGAGCUGUGAGCUCAUGGCUGCGAUGGCAAUGCCAUAUACAAAAGACAGCAUUUCACAGCCCUCCUCUCCACCGUCUGGCUCUCUCAUUCGUAUGCCUCCCUGAACUCUCCUGUGAAGUAUAAUCACCUCCUACUUUGGUUCCAGACUCUGACACCCGAGAUGUCCUCGGAUACCAUCAACCCAGUUGUCUGCAGAACUAAGACUAUGAAGCCCAGCGGUAGUGCUCUGAGAACAGCCCUGAUGGGAGGGGUUCACUAUGUGCUGCCUGUCAUCCGAUGAGACAUGCACCCUUGGCGUGUACCAUCACAUGUGACACACACAACUCAAUGAGCUGGCCUCAUUUUUAUAGAUGAAGAAGACUGAAGUGGUGGGGUGUCUUCUCAUGGGCACAGGACAUCCAUGAUGAAGGUUCUGAUCAAGCCAAUGUCUAUCAUAGAUACAAAGUCCGUCUCUUGGCACUUGCCUGGCUCGUUCCAUAAAUCUGCCAUGGAUUGGUAUCUGAAACCUGUUUUCCAAUAGUGGAGCAUUUCUGUGGCAGACCUGUUUCCUGGCAUGUUGGCAUUGGUGUAUGCAGCCAACCCUGGUGGUGACAGUUGUGCAGCUGGAUCAACUGUUCACAUAGCCCUCAUCUAUUCUGUGUGAUCUCGGAAUAACGUCUUCAUAACAACACCAGUUGGCUUUUGAUUACAUGCCAUAAAACCACUGUUCUUCAGAAGCUGGAUGACUUCAAUAGUUCUGCCAUAUAAAGACUUCAAGGUGGCUGCCGCACGGACACAGGCUACACAGGGCUGUUUGCACACAAAUGCACACUGAGACUCAGCGUAGCCUGGGAAGGCGAUCAGGAAAGGUUUCCUUUCCUUGCAUCACUCAAGAAGCCCUUUACUCUUUUGAACGACAGAACAGUCUGGGUAUUUUUGCCGUCGCAGUAAGUAGCAUUCGAAAGCAAGGAGAUAACAUCAAUAGAGGCACAGUGCCACAGUGCGCUAAUGCAAAAUGAAUGAGCAAGAUGGCAGUCUCCUUUCUAGGCAAAUAGUGCUUUGUAAUACAGGACGCCUUCUCCAUUAAAGCCUCAUCUCAGGAGCCAGAGAGUAUGAUUUGCAUGGAGGAGGCGUAGACCCAAUACUGUGGGAGUGGCUAGAGAAGAUCAAUGUGAUUGAUUGACAAGGGCUGCACGUGGGAAUGGAUAUCUGUGCACUGAAAAGAACACAUCACUCUUUUUAAGCUUACACCUUGCUCGUCUCACAGGUCAACAACAUGGCUGGAAAGUAACUGGUGUCACUGAUUCGUAUUUAGCAAGAUAAAGUAACUCAGUCACAGCAAGAUAGGUCGAUAUGUAAGCAAGAAAGCGCUGUGAAUACCACUCUGAAUCUGAUGUAUAUUCAGUGAUUGUCAGGGCCAGCAGCAUGUAGACGACUCUAAGCCUUGUUUGCUGUAGAAACUGUCGCUUUAGCACCAGGCUAAGCUUCCGAUUUCUCCCACACACAUGGAAAUCUACAUUCUUAAUAAACACAGAGCUAAAUGAACACAAAGGGGCUACACUGCACAU